AACUUCGUUCCCUCCUGAGUGGAUCCUGAGUACGGCCGGACACGAGAAAUCCGGUCGGAAGCUGGGAGGACCAUCUCCCAAGGCUAAAUACUCCCUAGUGACCGAUAGUGAACCAGUACCGUGAGGGAAAGGUGAAAAGCACCCCGGAAGGGGAGUGAAAUAGAUCCUGAAACCGUGUGCCUACAAGUAGUUAGAGCCCGUUAAUGGGUGAUAGCGUGCCUUUUGUAGAAUGAACCGGCGAGUUACGAUUACAUGCAAGGUUAAGUUGAAAAGACGGAGCCGCAGCGAAAGCGAGUCUGAAUAGUGAGAUUUUAGUAUGUGGUCGUAGACCCGAAACCAGGUGAU
rnacentral:rRNA from 1 species